rnacentral:lncRNA from 1 species
AAAAAAUCCAGUUGAUAUUUUGCCGAAUUUGAAUAGCAACCAGAAAAGAAGGUCAAGUUUUAAAAGAAGCAACACGGGAGGGGAUUGUAAUUAAAUCUGCUCUGGGCUGGGUACAGAUGAUUCAUUUCAAGUACACAGCAUUCUGGAAAGCACGUGACCAAAGGUAUUUUUCUAAAUAACCUCAAGUGCUAGUCAAGUUAUUCUUUAAAUUGCAUGCCAGCGACAUCUCCUAACUGGUAUUUCGCUUGGCAGGCGCUGAGCCACCGCCACAGCCUGGAUUUUCCUGCAGGCAGAGCCCGGCCUUGUUUUGACAGUCAUUUCUGCUGCUUUCUGCUUCUGCUUGGAAGGAGCACACAGUUGCAGAGGUCUGGGGAAGGAUGCCCUUGGAAGCUUCCAUCAAAACAAUUAGGAGACCCCAGGCAGCUGUCUUCUGGAAACCUCCGUCCAACAGCAGCAGUUCUCCACCCACCAGGCCACUCCCAGCAUCCAAAUGGUUUCCAAAGGUGCAGUCAGGUUAGUACACCUUGACUCUGCUCUUGGGUAAGGCUAGGUCCUGGCAUGACAGUGUGACCCAAGCUGAGCCCAUCAGAG